UACGUAGGAGGCGAGCGUUGUCCGGAAUUACUGGGCGUAAAGCGCGUGUAGGCGGUCCGCCAAGUCGCCCUUGAAAGCCCCCUGCUCAACGGGGGGAGGGGGGGCGAAACGGGCGGACUCGGUGGAGUCUGGUAGGGGGAGGCGGAACGGCCGGUGGAGCGGUGAAAUGCGUAGAGAUCGGCCAGAACACCAGUGGCGCAGGCGGCCUCCUGGGCCAGGACUGACGCUGAGACGCGACAGCGUGGGGAGCGAACGGAAUUAGAUACUCCGGUAGUCCACGCCGUAAACGAUGCAGACCAGGUGCUGGGGGUAUCGACCCCUUCGGCGCCGGAGCAAACGCGGGAAGUCUGCCGCCUGGGGAGUACGGCCGCAAGGCUAAA
rnacentral:rRNA from 1 species